rnacentral:rRNA from 1 species
CGAUGAAACUUUAACAGAACCCUUCGGGGCGAAGAUAAAGUGGAUUAGCGGCGGACGGGUGAGUAACACGUGAGUAACCUGCCUUAGACAUUGGGAUAGCCUCGGGAAACCGGGAUUAAUACCAAAUAAAAUCAUAAUGACACAUGUCGUAACGAUCAAAACUCCGGUGGUCUAAGAUGGACUCGCGUCCCAUUAGCUAGUUGGUAGAGUAAAAGCCUACCAAGGCGACGAUGGGUAGCCGGCCUGAGAGGGUGAACGGCCACAUUGGAACUGAGAAACGGUCCAAACUCCUACGGGAGGCAGCAGUGGGGAAUAUUGCACAAUGGAGGGAACUCUGAUGCAGCGACGCCGCGUGAACGAAGAAGGCUUUCGAGUCGUAAAGUUCUUUUAUAUGGGAAGAUAAUGACGGUACCAUAAGAAAAAGCCCCGGCUAACUACGUGCCAGCAGCCGCGGUAAUACGUAGGGGGCUAGCGUUGUCCGGAAUCACUGGGCGUAAAGGGUUCGCAGGCGGAAAUGCAAGUCAGAUGUAAAAGGCAGUAGCUUAACUACUGUAAGCAUUUGAAACUGCAUAUCUUGAGAAGAGUAGAGGUAAGUGGAAUUUUUAGUGUAGCGGUGAAAUGCGUAGAUAUUAAAAAGAAUACCGGUGGCGAAGGCGACUUACUGGGCUCAUUCUGACGCUGAGGAACGAAAGCGUGGGUAGCAAACAGGAUUAGAUACCCUGGUAGUCCACGCUGUAAACGAUGAGUGCUAGGUGUCGGCGAAUGUCGGUGCCGCCAGUUAACACAAUA